CCGUGUCCAACUCGAAUAUCAGGUUCAACUUUCAAAAACUAUGGAAACAAAGACAACAAAUAUUGAGGACUUAUUUUUGGAAAACCUGUUUUGGUGGAAUGCAUAUGAACAAGUUGAUGUGUUUCAUUGUGUUGAAUUCUUUGGGUUGGGGCUCUAUGAAAAUGAAAAUACACUUGUAAAGUGAGGUCAUCUGUGUAGUAUAUAAAGUGUAGCGCCACUCUGGGCUUUUAGUAUCAGAAUUCAGGAGAACAAGCCUGCAGGAUCCACCUGGACAUCACAAUGAAGCUGAUUUUUUCUCUCACUCUCAUCUGCGCGCUCUACAGCACAGCUGGAGCCCUAACCUGUACAGAGGGUUCGACCGAAACAUCAACAACAUGCAGCUCAGAGACCAUGUGCAUAGUAGCUACCUUCCUUGUAACUCAAAAUGGAACCUCAGCAUCACUAACCUACAAAGCCUGUGCAUCAUCCGCUCUGUGUCCGCUCACAGGCAAUACGACUGCUUCAGUCAACUUUGGUGCUCAAAGUGCAACUGCAUCUGCUCAGUGCUGCAACACUGACAACUGCAACUCACAAAAUCUGUCUUCACCCACUGCUCAGUCACCUAACUCCCUCCAGUGCAUUGCUUGUGAUCCCAUCACUUCACAGUGCACCACUAUAAUAACAUGUUCAGGAGAUGAGACAAACUGCUUCACAGCAGCUGUCAAAAAUGGAAACACAACAACUCCAGUGCUGGGCUGUGCAACCCCAAAUACAUGUUCAGCUGCUACAAGUCUGAUUAGU